GAGACCCGGAGGCUGAGGCUGUAGGUGGGCUCCGCUGGGUAAAAGUUGCCGCAGCAGCUGUCCCUUGGCCCCAUCGCGAUUUAUUUUUCCCCCUUGCUUUCCGGGUCCCGGGAUCCCAAGUUUGUAACUAACGGGAGCGAAUCCACACCCGAGCAAAAUGUUUGCGAGUUUCAGGCGCCCUUAGUUGAAAGGCUGUAAUUAACAAGUCCGCUGUUUGCCAGCCAGGCGCCGUUGCAGGCGCUUUCUGUGGAUUGUCAUUUAUUUCUCACAGCAACCCUAGGAGGCUGUUAUCCUUGACAUCUGCAGCAGCCCUUCCAAGCUGUGGAGACCAGGUCAUCUGGAAUGCCCAUUUAUGUCAAUGGAAGAAAGAAAAAGGGGUCUCCUCCCAUCCUCACCACUGCAUUCUCCCACCAACCCUGCUCCUGUCCCACUUCCCACAACUCAGUUGUUGACAAUUUAACAGUGGGUUUCUGGAAACAGUGCUGCCUCCUUGAUGGUCUAACUAACUACCAGAGUUAUUCUAACAGCAGGAAUUUCAAGCCAGGUAAGGGGAGCUAUGUCAGGCUGCCAGAUGGUGGGGAAGACAGGUGUGGGUGAGCUGGCUUCAGACUAAAGGAAGAGGAGAUCAAGUGUUGGAAUCACAUUUGAGAAAAGGAGUCAAGUGAACUUCAUUACCCAUUAUAGAGGCCUGUUAUAUCCUUUAGUGCUAUUUGGACUUGGAUUGAACCUGUGACAAAUCCUUUUCUUAUGCUUCUUCCAUCCCUGCUUCCAUGUUAUAUCCUUUCCCCUUCUAAAAUGGUAAUAAUGAGAAAUAACUAUUACUAAUUACCCUAGAACAUAAAUUUCAUUUAAGGUGUCACAAUCAGAUUAUCAUCUUCAGUUUUUCAGAGCCGCAAACUUCCCAUGGUUAUAUGCAGGUAGUACUAAAUGGAUGGAUCUGGGAUCAAACUCAGGGCUUUCUGACUUUAAAAGUCUUGUUCUGCUACCCUCCAAGUGGCCUAGGGUGAUUUGCCCUAAACGGUUCACCUCUGUAUGAUGAUGCAUCCAUGCAGUGGGGCUUAUGGAAAGUGAAUGUGGAGCCUCAGGGCCUUAAUCUUGAAGCAGGCUCUCUAGAAGGGAGCUUGCAGAAGGAGUGGGGACUCGAUGAGAUGCUGUUUUCUCAUUGUGUUUCAGUGAUGACUGAAAAUUUGUUGCCAGCGUCUAUCUGGAAACAAUGUUUUGAUGAUCCACCACCCCAUCCCUCCAAACCACUUUCUUGCACAUACUCCAGAAUAAUAGACAGAAGAAUUUAAUACAUGUGAUGCUUUGCCUUCCAUUUACACUAUCAUAAAUUACAAAGUAUUGUUCACUUCACAAAAUAAAACCAUUUCCAGAUA
rnacentral:lncRNA from 1 species